rnacentral:rRNA from 1 species
GCUCCAGACUCCUACGGGAGGCAGCAGUGGGGGAUAUUGCACAAUGGGGGAAACCCUGAUGCAGCGACGCCGCGUGAGUGAAGAAGUAUUUCGGUAUGUAAAGCUCUAUCAGCAGGGAAGAAAAUGACAGUACCUGACCAAGAAGCCCCGGCUAACUACGUGCCAGCAGCCGCGGUAAUACGUAGGGGGCAAGCGUUAUCCGGAUUUGCUGGGUGUAAAGGGAGCGUAGACGGCAGUGCAAGUCUGGAGUGAAAGGCGGGGGCUCAACCCCCGGACUGCUCUGGAAACUGUACGGCUGGAGUGCAGGAGAGGUAAGUGGAAUUCCUAGUGUAGCGGUGAAAUGCGUAGAUAUUAGGAGGAACACCAGUGGCGAAGGCGGCCUGCUGGACUGCAACUGACGUUGAGGCUCGAAGGCGUGGGGAGCAAACAGGAUUAGAUACCCCCGUAUAU